AGCCCAGCACCGAAUCCUUCACCGUAUUGGUGACAGGAAAUGUGGUGUUUAGGUCGUUUCUUGUGCCGAUACGUCUCUCCUCAAGUCCACUUGAUUGUGGCCUCAGGCCCAGAGAGGGUUAAGGCCCGUGGAGGCGAGAUGUUCGGUACCCGGAACGCCCUUAGAGUCGGGUUGUUUGGGAAUGCAGCCCUAAGUGGGUGGUAAACUCCAUCCAAGGCUAAAUACUAGCACGAGUCCGAUAGCGAAGAAGUACCGCGAGGGAAAGUUGAAAAGAACUUUGAAGAGAGAGUUCAAGAGUACGUGAAACCGCUGAGAGGCAAACUGGUGGAGCUGAAAUGGCUUCGAGGAAUUCAGCCGUUGGGUUUUGUCAUAAUCCUCUGUGUCUGAUCUCACGACAGCGCAGUUGGUUAACGUCGAUUCCAUAGGUGCACUUUCCUCGUUAGCCCAACCACGACCGGUGAAUAUUCGAUUGUCUAUCGUGUUUGGAAGGUAGCGCCGGCCUCGGUCUGCGUAUUAUAGACAGACAUAUAGAGUGAUUGGUUCACUGGGCGAUAACGCCUGCCUAUUAAGGCUCAUACGUUGGCUGUCUUGUGAAUACUCUCUGAUUUCACUACUUCGGUAGGGGAGUUGGAAUUAUUUGCCUUACGGUCGGCCUCUGUGAUUGGCGUUGGUUUAGUCUGUGGUUGUGAAGUAGGUAGUCCACCUGACCCGUCUUGAAACACGGACCAAGGAGUCUAACAUGUGCGCGAGUCAUUGGGUUCAUACGAAACCUAAAGGCGCAGUGAAGGUGAAGAUCCACUUAUGGUGGAUUGAGGUGGGAUGCUGGGCUACGUACUCAGCCGCACUACCGGCCCGUUCCACAUGUAUCUCAUGGGAGCGGAGCAAGAGCGUACACGUUGGGACCCGAAAGAUGGUGAACUAUGCUUGCGCAGGUCGAA
rnacentral:rRNA from 1 species